rnacentral:rRNA from 1 species
UACGAAGGGUGCAAGCGUUACUCGGGAUUACUGGGCGUAAAGCGUGCGUAGGUGGUUUGUUAAGUCUGUUGUGAAAGCCCCGGGCUCAACCUGGGAAUGGCAAUGGAUACUGGCAAGCUAGAGUGCGGUAGAGGGUAGUGGAAUUCCCGGUGUAGCGGUGAAAUGCGUAGAGAUCGGGAGGAAGGCCGGUGGCGAAGGCGGCGCUCUGGAACAUUUCUGACGCUGAGGCUCGAAAGCGUGGGGAGCAAACAGG